rnacentral:rRNA from 1 species
GAUGAACGCUGGCGGCGUGCCUAAUACAUGCAAGUCGAGCGAACAGACGAGGAGCUUGCUCCUCUGACGUUAGCGGCGGACGGGUGAGUAACACGUGGAUAACCUACCUAUAAGACUGGGAUAACUUCGGGAAACCGGAGCUAAUACCGGAUAAUAUAUUGAACCGCAUGGUUCAAUAGUGAAAGACGGUUUUGCUGUCACUUAUAGAUGGAUCCGCGCCGCAUUAGCUAGUUGGUAAGGUAACGGCUUACCAAGGCAACGAUGCGUAGCCGACCUGAGAGGGUGAUCGGCCACACUGGAACUGAGACACGGUCCAGACUCCUACGGGAGGCAGCAGUAGGGAAUCUUCCGCCAUGGGCGAAAGCUUGACGGAGCAACGCCGCGUGAGUGAUGAAGGUCUUCGGAUCGUAAAACUCUGUUAUUAGGGAAGAACAAAUGUGUAAGUAACUAUGCACGUCUUGACGGUACCUAAUCAGAAAGCCACGGCUAACUACGUG